GAAGUGGCGAAAUUGGUAGACGCACGGGACUCAAAAUCCCGCGGUAGCGAUAUCGUGUCGGUUCGAGUCCGACCUUC
rnacentral:tRNA from 1 species